rnacentral:rRNA from 1 species
CGGGUGAGUAAUGUCUGGGAAACUGCCUGAUGGAGGGGGAUAACUGCUGGAAACGGUAGCUAGUACCGCAUAACGUCGCAAGACCAAAGAGGGGGACCUUCGGGCCUCUUGCCAUCGGAUGUGCCCAGAUGGGAUUAGCUAGUAGGUGGGGUAACGGCUCACCUAGGCGACGAUCCCUAGCUGGUCUGAGAGGAUGACCAGCCACACUGGAACUGAGACACGGUCCAG